rfam:Lactobacillus capillatus DSM 19910 NODE_84, whole genome shotgun sequence.
GGAGGAUUACCCAAGUCUGGCUGAAGGGAACGGUCUUGAAAACCGUCAGGUGGGUAAAACCACGCAAGAGUUCGAAUCUCUUAUCCUCCU